rnacentral:rRNA from 1 species
ACGCACGCUGGCGGCGUGCUUCACCCCUGCAAGUCGCACGGAAAGGCCCUGCUUUUGUGGGGUGCUCGAGUGGCGAACGGGUGAGUAACACGUGAGUAACCUGCCCUUGACUUUGGGAUAACUUCAGGAAACUGGGGCUAAUACCGGAUAGGAGCUCCUGCUGCAUGGUGGGGGUUGGAAAGUUUCGGCGGUUGGGGAUGGACUCGCGGCUUAUCAGCUUGUUGGUGGGGUAGUGGCUUACCAAGGCUUUGACGGGUAGCCGGCCUGAGAGGGUGACCGGCCACAUUGGGACUGAGAUACGGCCCAGACUCCUACGGGAGGCAGCAGUGGGGAAUAUUGCACAAUGGGCGGAAGCCUGAUGCAGCAACGCCGCGUGCGGGAUGACGGCCUUCGGGUUGUAAACCGCUUUCGCCUGUGACGAAGCGUGAGUGACGGUAGUGGGUAAAGAAGCACCGGCUAACUACGUG